rnacentral:tRNA from 1 species
GCGGACGUCCGCAACGGCUGGCGCUGGCGCUCGGGGCGCCGGUCAUCCUGUUCGCGGCGGGUGUCCGCGC